CACCAAAUAUGCAUACUGGGAAUCAAACUCGGGUUCUCUAGAAGAGCAAGCUCUCUCGGACCUCUGGGCCAUCUCUCCAGCCCUUUUAGCAGUUUGUAUGGGAAACUGAUGAAACCUCAGUGGCAAGUUAGUCAGAUUAACGGUCAACAAGUGUGACAGUUUGCAUACACUUUGUGCAGGGAGCGUCACUAUUAGAAGGUAUGGCCCUGUUGGAGUAGGUGUGUUACUGUGGGCUUUAAGACCCUCAUCCUAGCUUCCUGGAAGCCAGUAAGUAUUCUGCUAGCAGCCUUCAGAUGAGGAUGUAGAACUCUCAGUUCCUCCUGCACCAUGCCUGCCUGGAUGCUGCCAUGUUCCUGCCUUGAUGAUAAUGGACUGACCCUCUGAACCUGGCUGAGUCACUGGAGCAUCUAUCUGCACGCUGGUGCGGUUUCGACUUUCGCCCAAGUGCAUAGUGGUAUAUCAUCCGAGAG
ensembl:processed_transcript